rnacentral:rRNA from 1 species
AAGUCGUAACAAGGUUUCCGUAGGUGAACCUGCGGAAGGAUCAUUAUCGUUAAACCGAGGCGCGAGGGCUGUCGCUGACCUUUCCCGGUCGUGCACGCCCGAGCCCUCUCACAAUCCAUCUCACCCCUCGUGCAUCACCGCGUGGGUCCCCCUUUGCCGGAGGGCCCGCGUCUUUACACAAAACUCGAUACAGUGUAGAACGUUUAUUUUCGCGCUCGCACGCGAUCAAUAAUACAACUUUCAACAACGGAUCUCUUGGCUCUCGCAUCGAUGAAGAACGCAGCGAAAUGCGAUACGUAAUGUGAAUUGCAGAAUUCAGUGAAUCAUCGAAUCUUUGAACGCACCUUGCGCCCCUUGGCAUUCCGAGGGGCACACCCGUUUGAGUGUCGUGAAAUCUUCAAAAACCCUCUCUUUUGAGGGGGAUUUUUGGACUUGGAGGUUCAAUGCUCGCUUUCGCCUUUUUAGAAAGCGAGCUCCUCUCAAAUGAAUCAGUGGGGUCUGCUUUGCCGGUCCUUGACGUGAUAAGAUCUUUCUACGUUUUGGAUUCGACAUCGUCCCGCUCCCAAUCGUCCCCACGGACAAAGGAUGGUGCUCCGGUCGCGGCCGGACCCAAAAACCUUGACCUCAAAUCGGGUGAGACUACCCGCUGAACUUAAGCAUAUCAAUAAGCGGAGGAAAAGNAACUAACAAGGAUUCCCCUAGUAACUGCGAGUGAAGCGGGAAAGCUCAAAUUUAAAANUCUUGGUGGUCUUUGGCCGUCCGAGUCGUAAUUUAGAGAAGCGUCUUCCGCGCUGGACCGUGCACAAGUCUCCUGGAACGGAGCGUCGUAGAGGGUGAGAAUCCCGUCUUUGGCAUGGACACACCAGGGCUUUUGCGAUGCGCUCUCGAAGAGUCGAGUUGUUUGGGAAUGCAGCUCAAAAUGGGUGGUGAACUCCAUCUAAAGCUAAAUAUUGGCGAGAGACCGAUAGCGAACAAGUACCGUGAGGGAAAGAUGAAAAGCACUUUGGAAAGAGAGUGAAACAGUACGUGAAAUUGUUGAAAGGGAAACGCUUGAAGUCAGUCGCGUCGUCCGAGACUCAGCCUCGCCUCGGCUUGGCGUACUUCUCGGCCCGACGGGUCAGCAUCAAUUUCGCCUCUCGGAUAAUGGCGAGGGNAAAGUGACACCUUUACGGUGUGUUAUAGUCUCUCGUCGCAUGCGAGGGUCGGGAUUGAGGAACUCAGCACGCGCCCCCGGGCGUCGGGNCUUUCGCCCACGAUACGUGCUUAGGAUGUUGGCGUAAUGGCUUUAAACGACCCGUCUUGAAACACGGACC